rnacentral:rRNA from 1 species
AGAGUUUGAUCCUGGCUCAGGAUGAACGCUAGCUACAGGCUUAACACAUGCAAGUCGAGGGGCAUCAGGAAGAAAGCUUGCUUUCUUUGCUGGCGACCGGCGCACGGGUGAGUAACACGUAUCCAACCUGCCCUUUACUCGGGGAUAGCCUUUCGAAAGAAAGAUUAAUACCCGAUGGCAUAAUGAUUCCGCAUGGUUUCAUUAUUAAAGGAUUCCGGUAAAGGAUGGGGAUGCGUUCCAUUAGGUUGUUGGUGAGGUAACGGCUCACCAAGCCUUCGAUGGAUAGGGGUUCUGAGAGGAAGGUCCCCCACAUUGGAACUGAGACACGGUCCAAACUCCUACGGGAGGCAGCAGUGAGGAAUAUUGGUCAAUGGGCGCUAGCCUGAACCAGCCAAGUAGCGUGAAGGAUGAAGGCUCUAUGGGUCGUAAACUUCUUUUAUAUAAGAAUAAAGUGCAGUAUGUAUACUGUUUUGUAUGUAUUAUAUGAAUAAGGAUCGGCUAACUCCGUGCCAGCAGCCGCGGUAAUACGGAGGAUCCGAGCGUUAUCCGGAUUUAUUGGGUUUAAAGGGAGCGUAGGUGGACUGGUAAGUCAGUUGUGAAAGUUUGCGGCUCAACCGUAAAAUUGCAGUUGAUACUGUCAGUCUUGAGUACAGUAGAGGUGGGCGGAAUUCGUGGUGUAGCGGUGAAAUGCUUAGAUAUCACGAAGAACUCCGAUUGCGAAGGCAGCUCACUGGACUGCAACUGACACUGAUGCUCGAAAGUGUGGGUAUCAAACAGGAUUAGAUACCCUGGUAGUCCACACAGUAAACGAUGAAUACUCGCUGUUUGCGAUAUACAGUAAGCGGCCAAGCGAAAGCAUUAAGUAUUCCACCUGGGGAGUACGCCGGCAACGGUGAAACUCAAAGGAAUUGACGGGGGCCCGCACAAGCGGAGGAACAUGUGGUUUAAUUCGAUGAUACGCGAGGAACCUUACCCGGGCUUAAAUUGCAGUGGAAUGAUGUGGAAACAUGUCAGUGAGCAAUCACCGCUGUGAAGGUGCUGCAUGGUUGUCGUCAGCUCGUGCCGUGAGGUGUCGGCUUAAGUGCCAUAACGAGCGCAACCCUUAUCUUUAGUUACUAACAGGUUAUGCUGAGGACUCUAGAGAGACUGCCGUCGUAAGAUGUGAGGAAGGUGGGGAUGACGUCAAAUCAGCACGGCCCUUACGUCCGGGGCUACACACGUGUUACAAUGGGGGGUACAGAAGGCAGCUAGCGGGUGACCGUAUGCUAAUCCCAAAAGCCUCUCUCAGUUCGGAUCGAAGUCUGCAACCCGACUUCGUGAAGCUGGAUUCGCUAGUAAUCGCGCAUCAGCCACGGCGCGGUGAAUACGUUCCCGGGCCUUGUACACACCGCCCGUCAAGCCAUGGGAGCCGGGGGUACCUGAAGUACGUAACCGCAAGGAUCGUCCUAGGGUAAAACUGGUGACUGGGGCUAAGUCGUAACAAGGUAGCCGUACCGGAAGGUGCGGCUG